GCGUGCAUACUGGUUGGGUAAGUUGCUAAGGGCGCACGGUGGAUGCCUUGGUAGUAGGAGCCGAUGAAGGACGUGGGAAUCUGCGAUAAGCCUGGUGGAGUUGAUAACCGAACGGUGAUGCCAGGAUGUCCGAAUGGGGAAACCCCGCAUGCAUGGCUUUGGUUGUGUGUGUGACCGCUGGUUGAAUGUAUAGGCCAGUUGGAGGGAACGUGGGGAAGUGAAACAUCUCAGUACCUGCAGGAAGAGAAAACAAUUGUGAUUCCGUGAGUAGUGGCGAGCGAAAGCGGAGGUGGCUAAACCUAUUGCGUGUGAGACCCGGCAGGGGUUGCGUGGUGGGGGUUGUUGGGACGUUGCGUGGUGUGCUGCCGUGCACCGCAGUGAUGCGUAUUGGUAGACGAAGCAGUGUGAGUGCUGCACCGGAGAGGGUGGGAGUCCCGUAGUUGAAACUGGUGUGUGUUGUUGUGUGAUGUUCCCGAGUAGUACGGGGUUCGUGGAGCCUCGUGUGAAUCUGCCAGGACCACCUGGUAAGCCUAAAUACUUCCUAUUGACCGAUAGUGAAUCAGUACCGUGAGGGAAUGGUGAAAAGUACCCCGGGAGGGGAGUGAAAUAGUACCUGAAACCGUGUGCUUACAAUCCGUCCGAGCCUGCUUUUUUGGUGGGUGAGGGCGUGCCUUUUGCAAAAUGAGCCUGCGAGUCAGUGAUGCGUGGCGAGGUUAACCCGUGUGGGGUAGUCGUAGCGAAAGCGAGUCUGAAAAGGGCGUAUUUAGUCGCGUGUUCUGGACCCGAAACGAAGUGAUCUACCCAUGGCCAGGUUGAAGCGCGUGUAAGAGCGUGUGGAGGACCGAACCCACUUCAGUUGAAAAUGGAGGGGAUGAGUUGUGGGUAGGGGUGAAAGGCUAAUCAAACUUCGUGAUAGCUGGUUCUCCCCGAAAUGCAUUUAGGUGCAGCGUUACGUGUGCUUGCUGGUGGUAGAGCUACUGGUUGGCUGAUGGGCCCUACAAGGUUACUGACGUCUGCCAAACUCCGAAUGCCGGUUAAGUCUAGCGUAGCAGUGAGACGGUGGGGGAUAAGCUUCAUCGUCGAGAGGGAAACAGCCCAGAUCAUCGGUUAAGGCCCCUAAGCGUGUGCUAAGUGGGAAAGGAUGUGGAGUUGCUGAGACAACCAGGAGGUUGGCUUAGAAGCAGCCACCCUUGAAAGAGUGCGUAACAGCCCACUGGUCAAGUGAUUCUGCGCCGACAAUGUAGCGGGGCUCAAGCACACCGCCGAAACCAUGACAGCACCACGUUACGUGGUGUUGGGUAGGGGAGCGUCGUGCACGCGGUGAAGCAAGCCCGUGAGGUCUUGUGGAGUGUGUGCGAGUGAGAAUGCAGGCAUGAGUAGCGAAUGACGGGUGAGAAACCCGUCCGCCGGAUGACGAAGGGUUCCAGGGUCAAGUUUUUCUUCCCUGGGUUAGUCGGGGCCUAAGGCGAGGCCGACAGGCGUAGUCGAUGGAUAACGGGUUGAUAUUCCCGUACCAGUGCUACACCGUCCAUGACAAGUUGGUGAUACUAACCACCCAAUCCACCGUUAGCAGCCUUCGGGUUGUUUCUGGUGGGGCGGCUGGGACCUGAUCCAGUGCGUCAAGCGCAUUAACAGGUGUGACGCAGGAAGGUAGCCGGGCCAGGCAGUGGAAUUGUCCUGGUCUAAGCGUGUAGGGCGUCUGGUUGGUAAAUCCGCCAGACAUAAUGCUUGAGACGUGAUGGGCGCCCACGUGGUGGGUGAUUCGGUGAUCCUAUGCUGUCGAGAAAAGCAUCGGCGCGAGGUGUGGUGUUGCCCGUACCCGAAACCGACACAGGUAGUCAGGUAGAGAAUACUAAGGCGAUCGAGAGAAUCAUAGUUAAGGAACUCGGCAAAAUGCCCCCGUAACUUCGGAAGAAGGGGGGCCCGGACCCUGAUGCCCACUUGCUGGGUGGAGGGGGUAAGGGCCGCAGAGACUAGGGGGAGGCGACUGUUUAUCAAAAACACAGGUGCAUGCGAAGUCGUAAGACGAGGUAUAUGCACUGACUCCUGCCCGGUGCUGGAAGGUUAAGCGGAUCUGUUAGCCACACGUGUGUGGCGAAGCGGAGAAGUUAAGCCCCAGUAAACGGCGGUGGUAACUAUAACCAUCCUAAGGUAGCGAAAUUCCUUGUCGGGUAAGUUCCGACCUGCACGAAUGGAGCAACGACCUCUCCGCUGUCUCUACUAUGAACUCGGCGAAAUUGCAUUACGAGUAAAGAUGCUCGUUACGCGCAGAAGGACGGAAAGACCCCGGAACCUUUACUAUAGUUUGGUAUUGGUAUUGACUAGCACUUGUGUAGCAUAGGUGGGAGACGGUGAAGCCGCCACGCUAGUGGUGGUGGAGUCGAAUCGUGAAAUACCACUCUGGUGGUAGUGAAUAUCUAACUUCGGGCCAUGAUCUGGUCCAGGGACAGUGCCUGAUGGGUAGUUUAACUGGGGCGGUUGCCUCCUAAAUGGUAACGGAGGCGCCCAAAGGUUCCCUCAGCCUGGUUGGUCAUCAGGUGUUGAGUGUAAGUGCACAAGGGAGCUUGACUGUGAGACCGGCAGGUCGAGCAGGAACGAAAGUUGGGACUAGUGAUCCGGCGACUCGUUGUGGAACGGUCGUCGCUCAACGGAUAAAAGGUACUCCGGGGAUAACAGGCUGAUCUUGCCCAAGAGUUCAUAUCGACGGCAUGGUUUGGCACCUCGAUGUCGGCUCGUCGCAUCCUGGGGCUGGAGUAGGUCCCAAGGGUUGGGCUGUUCGCCCAUUAAAGCGGUACGCGAGCUGGGUUCAGAACGUCGUGAGACAGUUCGGUCCCUAUCCUCUGCGCGCGUUGGAGAAUUGCGAAGGGCUGUCCUUAGUACGAGAGGACCGGGACGGACGAACCGCUGGUAUGUCAGUUGUACCGCCAGGUGCAUGGCUGAUUGGCUACGUUCGGGAUGGAUAACCGCUGAAAGCAUCUAAGCGGGAAGCCGGCUUCAAGAUGAAUUCUCCU
rnacentral:rRNA from 1 species